GGAAGUAUAGCUCAGUUGGUUAGAGCACCUGCCUUACAAGCAGGGGGUCACAGGUUCGAGUCCUGUUACUUCCACCA
rnacentral:tRNA from 1 species